UGUGUUAUGAUGAUUUUUUUUGUUUAAAAAAACAAUGGGAAUCUCUCUGAAUAGUAGUGAAGGAGAAUCUUUUUCUGAACUGACA